UAGUGGCGCACGGGUGAGUAACACGUGGGAACCUGCCUUUAGGUACGGAAUAACGUCUGGAAACGGACGCUAAUACCGUAUACUUCCUCCGGGAAAAAGGUCCGCCGCCUAAAGAGGGGCCCGCGUCAGAUUAGCUUGUUGGUGGGGUAAUGGCCUACCAAGACUUUGAUCAAUAGCUGAUCUGAGAGGAUGAUCAGCCACAUUGGGACUGAGACACGGCCCAAACUCCUACGGGAGGCAGCAGUAGGGAAUAUUGCACAAUGGAGGAAACUCUGAUGCAGCGAUGCCGCGUGAGUGAAGAAGGCCUUUGGGUUGUAAAGCUCUUUCGUCGGGGAAGAAAAUGACUGUACCCGAAUAAGAAGGUCCGGCUAACUUCGUGCCAGCAGCCGCGGUAAUACGAAGGGACCUAGCGUAGUUCGGAAUUACUGGGCUUAAAGAGCUCGUAGGUGGUUAAAAAAGUUGAUGGUGAAAUCCCAAGGCUUAACCUUGGAACUGCCAUCAAAACUUUUUAGCUAGAGUGUGAUAGAGGUAAGUGGAAUUUCUAGUGUAGAGGUGAAAUUCGUAGAUAUUAGAAAGAACACCAAAUGCGAAGGCAACUUACUGGGUCACUACUGACACUGAGGAGCGAAAGCAUGGGUAGCGAAGAGGAUUAGAUACCCUCGUAGUCCAUGCCGUAAACGAUGUGUGCUAGACGUUGGAAAUAUAUUUUUCAGUGUCGCAGCGAAAGCAUUAAGCACACCGCCUGGGGAGUACGACCGCAAGGUUAAAACUCAAAUGAAUUGACGGGGACCCGCACAAGCAGUGGAGCAUGUGGUUUAAUUCGAUGCAACGCGAAAAACCUUACCUACUCUUGACAUACUUGGAAGCUCUUGUAAUGAGAGUGUGCCUUUUGGAGCCAAGAUACAGGUGCUGCAUGGCUGUCGUCAGCUCGUGUCGUGAGAUGUUGGGUUAAGUCCCGCAACGAGCGCAACCCUCACUUUUAGUUGCCAUCAUUAAGUUGGGCACUCUGAAAGAACUGCCAGUGAUAAGCUGGAGGAAGGUGGGGAUGACGUCAAGUCCUCAUGGCCCUUACGUGUUGGGCUACACACGUGCUACAAUGGGGAAUACAGACGGACGCUAAAGCGUGAGCUGGUGCUAAUCCUAAAAAAUUUCUCGUAGUCCGGAUUGCAGUCUGCAACUCGACUGCAUGAAGUCGGAAUCGCUAGUAAUCGCGAAUCAGCAUGUCGCGGUGAAUACGUUCUCGGGUCUUGUACACACCGCCCGUCACACCAUGGAAGUGUGUUGCACCAGAAG
rnacentral:rRNA from 1 species